UAGUGGCGACGGGUGAGUAACGCGUGAGGAACCUGCCUUUCAGUGGGGGACAACAGUUGGAAACGACUGCUAAUACCGCAUAACACAGUCUAACCGCAUGGUUUAACUGUCAAAGCUUUACGUGCUGAAAGAUGGCCUCGCGUCUGAUUAGAUAGUUGGUGGGGUAACGGCCCACCAAGUCGACGAUCAGUAGCCGGUCUGAGAGGAUGAACGGCCACAUUGGGACUGAGAUACGGCCCAGACUCCUACGGGAGGCAGCAGUGGGGAAUAUUGGGCAAUGGGGGAAACCCUGACCCAGCAACGCCGCGUGAAGGAAGAAGGCCUUCGGGUUGUAAACUUCUUUUAGCAGGGACGAAGAACGUGACGGUACCUGCAGAAAAAGCAACGGCUAACUACGUGCCAGCAGCCGCGGUAAUACGUAGGUUGCAAGCGUUGUCCGGAUUUACUGGGUGUAAAGGGCGUGUAGGCGGAGAUGCGAGUUGGGAGUGAAAUCCCGGGGCUCAACCCCGGAACUGCUUUCAAAACUGCAUCCCUUGAGUAUCGGAGAGGCAAGCGGAAUUCCUAGUGUAGCGGUGAAAUGCGUAGAUAUUAGGAGGAACACCAGUGGCGAAGGCGGCUUGCUGGACGACAACUGACGCUGAGGCGCGAAAGCGUGGGGAGCAAACAGGAUUAGAUACCCUGGUAGUCCACGCUGUAAACG
rnacentral:rRNA from 1 species